GCUUACGGCCAUACCACCUUAGGCACGCCCGAUCUCGUCUGAUCUCGGAAGCUAAGCAGGGUCGGGCCUGGUUAGUACUUGAGGGGUGACCGCCUGGGAAUACCAGGUGCUGUAAGCA
ensembl:rRNA 5S_rRNA 5S ribosomal RNA